UGGGGAAUUUUGGACAAUGGGCGAAAGCCUGAUCGAGCGACGCCGCGUGCAGGAUGAAGGCCCUCGGGUUGUAAACUGCGGUAGUAGGGGAGGAACGCAAGUGACUGUACCCUACGGAAAGUGGUUGGUAACUACGUGCCAGCACCAGCGGUAAUACGUAGACCACAAGCGUUAUCCGGAUUUAUUGGGCGUAAAGAGCAUGUAGGAGGUCCGGUGCGUCUCUGGUUAAAGCCCACCGCCUAACGGUGGAAGUGCCAGAGAUACGAUCGGACUGGAGGAUGUGAGAGGUGCAUGGAACUCACGGUGUAGGGGUGAAAUCCGUUGAUAUCGUGGGGAACACCAAAGGCGAAGGCAGUGCACUGGUACAUUCCUGACUCUGAGAUGCGAAAGCG
rnacentral:rRNA from 1 species